GACGAACGCUGGCGGCGUGCUUAACACAUGCAAGUCGAACGGAAAGGCCCUGCUUUUGUGGGGUGCUCGAGUGGCGAACGGGUGAGUAACACGUGAGUAACCUGCCCUUGACUUUGGGAUAACUUCAGGAAACUGGGGCUAAUACCGGAUAGGAGCUCCUGCUGCAUGGUGGGGUUUGGAAAGUUUCGGCGGUUGGGGAUGGACUCGCGGCUUAUCAGCUUGUUGGUGGGGUAGUGGCUUACCAAGGCUUUGACGGGUAGCCGGCCUGAGAGGGUGACCGGCCACAUUGGGACUGAGAUACGGACCAGACUCCUACGGGAGGCAGCAGUGGGGAAUAUUGCACAAUGGGCGGAAGCCUGAUGCAGCAACGCCGCGUGCGGGAUGACGGCCUUCGGGUUGUAAACCGCUUUCGCCUGUGACGAAGCGUGAGUGACGGUAAUGGGUAAAGAAGCACCGGCUAACUACGUG
rnacentral:rRNA from 1 species